CUCCAGACUCCUACGGGAGGCAGCAGUGGGGAAUAUUGGGCAAUGGGCGCAAGCCUGACCCAGCGACGCCGCGUGAGGGAAGACGGUCUUCGGAUUGUAAACCUCUUUCAGCAGGGAAGACAAAAGGACGGUACCUGCAGAAGAAGCCACGGCUAACUACGUGCCAGCAGCCGCGGUAAUACGUAGGUGGCGAGCGUUGUCCGGAAUUACUGGGUGUAAAGGGAGUGUAGGCGGGAAGGCAAGUCAGAAGUGAAAAUUAUGGGCUCAACCCAUAACCUGCUUUUGAAACUGUUUUUCUUGAGUGAAGCAGAGGCAAGCGGAAUUCCUAGUGUAGCGGUGAAAUGCGUAGAUAUUAGGAGGAACACCAGUGGCGAAGGCGGCUUGCUGGGCUUUUACUGACGCUGAGGCUCGAAAGCGUGGGGAGCAAACAGGAUUAGAUACCCCCGUAU
rnacentral:rRNA from 1 species